rnacentral:rRNA from 1 species
GGUCAAGCGAAUAAGCGCACACGGUGGAUGCCUAGGCGGUCAGAGGCGAUGAAGGACGUGGUAGCCUGCGAAAAGUGUCGGGGAGCUGGCAACAAGCUUUGAUCCGGCAAUAUCCGAAUGGGGAAACCCACUGCUUCGGCAGUAUCCUGCAGUGAAUUCAUAGCUGCUGGAAGCGAACCCGGUGAACUGAAAUAUCUAAGUAACCGGAGGAAAAGAAAUCAACCGAGAUUCCCUAAGUAGUGACGAGCGAACGGGGAGCAGCCCUUAAGCUGGAAUGGCUUUAGAAAAACAAUCUGGAAAGAUUGGCCAUAGAAGGUGAUAGCCCUGUAUUUAAAAGGGCCACUCCAGU